rnacentral:rRNA from 1 species
AUCCGGGUUGCGGACAGUGUCUGGUGGGUAGUUUGACUGGGGCGGUCUCCUCCUAAAGAGUAACGGAGGAGCACGAAGGUUAGCUAAUCCUGGUCGGACAUCAGGAGGUUAGUGCAAAGGCAUAAGCUAGCUUGACUGCGAGAGUGACGGCUCGAGCAGGUGCGAAAGCAGGUCUUAGUGAUCCGGUGGUUCUGAAUGGAAGGGCCAUCGCUCAACGGAUAAAAGGUACUCCGGGGAUAACAGGCUGAUACCGCCCAAGAGUUCAUAUCGACGGCGGUGUUUGGCACCUCGAUGUCGGCUCAUCACAUCCUGGGGCUGAAGUAGGUCCCAAGGGUAUGGCUGUUCGCCAUUUAAAGUGGUACGCGAGCUGGGUUUAGAACGUCGUGAGACAGUUCGGUCCCUAUCUGCCGUGGGCGCUGGAGAAUUGAGGGGGGCUGCUCCUAGUACGAGAGGACCGGAGUGGACGCAUCACUGGUGUUCGGGUUGUCAUGCCAAUGGCAUUGCCCGGUAGCUAAAUGCGGAAGAGAUAAGUGCUGAAAGCAUCUAAGCACGAAACUUGCCCCGAGAUGAGUUCUCCCUGACUCCUUGAGAGUCCUGAAGGAACGUUGAAGACGACGACGUUGAUAGGUCGGGUGUGUAAGUGUAGCGAUACAUUGAGCUAACCGAUACUAAUGAACCGUGAGGCUUAACCUU